UAAGCCGUAUGCCAACAAAACAAUAAAAAUAAAAGGGAAUCUUGUUGAUAAGGUUUCAUCUGUAUACCCUUAGGGUUUGUUGUGACCUAAUGUGCUCUUUUACGCCCUUAAGAAGGCGAUCUGUAACGCUGCUUCCCACAGGAAGUCUUUGCUCUUUGCCGGCCACAUGCCCAAUGGAGAGAGAAAAAUGGCAGCAUACCACUUGGAUUACAUUCACAUUGCAACUAGUGGCUGUUAGAGAGUAUUGUGGAGAAAGCUCCAGUUUUGUUGAUGAGAAACUUUUCAAUCGUGGUAGCCAACUAUGCCUUGAAGUCCUGAAGACCUACAAGGCUUUGACACAUUUACAUUGCUCUGCUUCCAUGAUGGGAUGGGCGGUUUUGGUAAAGAUGGAUCAGGAACAUAGAUAUAUACAUCCUUAUUUCCUGAUGUGGUAGGGUUGAAUUCCUUACAUUAGUGGUAGCUAUUUAGUUGGCAUGCUUAGCUGUUUAGUUGGCACGCUAAACUGUUUAGUUGGCAUGCUUAGCUAUUUAGUUGGCACGCUAAACUGUUUAGUUGGCAUGCUUAGCUAUUUAGUUGGCACGCUAAGCUGUUUUGUUGGCAUGCUUAGCUAUUUAGUUGGCACGCUAAACUGUUUUGUUGGCAUGCUAAACUGUUUUGUUGGCAUGCUUAGCUAUUUAAUUGACACGCUAAGCUGUUUAGUUGGCAUGCUUGAUAUAAUCUUAUUGCUUUAGUUAUGAUUGGCUUGAGAUCUAUUUUUGAUGUUUCAUAAAAAAAUGUAUGAAAUGACAUCAGUCACUAUAUUGAAAGUAUUAAUAGAAUGUAUCAAAACAACACGUGGUUAAACACUUUA